GUGGGGAAUUUUGGACAAUGGGCGCAAGCCUGAUCCAGCAAUGCCGCGUGCAGGAAGAAGGCCUUCGGGUUGUAAACUGCUUUUGUACGGAACGAAACGGUCCUGGCUAAUAUCCGGGGCUAAUGACGGUACCGUAAGAAUAAGCACCGGCUAACUACGUGCCAGCAGCCGCGGUAAUACGUAGGGUGCGAGCGUUAAUCGGAAUUACUGGGCGUAAAGCGUGCGCAGGCGGUGCUGUAAGACAGGCGUGAAAUCCCCGGGCUCAACCUGGGGAUUGCGCUUGUGACUGCAGUGCUGGAGUGCGGCAGAGGGGGAUGGAAUUCCGCGUGUAGCAGUGAAAUGCGUAGAUAUGCGGAGGAACACCGAUGGCGAAGGCAAUCCCCUGGGCCUGUACUGACGCUCAUGCACGAAAGCGUGGGGAGCAAACAGGAUUAGAUACCCUAGUAGUCC
rnacentral:rRNA from 1 species